rnacentral:rRNA from 1 species
GACGAACGCUGGCGGCGUGCUUAACACAUGCAAGUCGAACGGUGAAGCGCCUUCCUUUUUGGUGGGUGUGGAUGAGUGGCGAACGGGUGAGUAACACGUGAGUAACCUGCCCCCUUCUUCUGGAUAACCGCAUGAAAGUGUGGCUAAUACGGGAUAUUCUGGGUCUGUCGCAUGAUGGGUCUGGGACAGAUAUUGUGGCGGUGGGGGAUGGGCUCGCGGCCUAUCAGCUUGUUGGUGGGGGGAUGGCCUACCAAGGCGGGGACGGGUAGCCGGCCUGAGAGGGUGACCGGCCACAUUGGGACUGAGGGACGGCCCGGACUGCUGCGGGCGGGAGCAGUGGGGAAUAUUGCCCAACGGCCGGAAGCAUGAUGCGGCAACGCCGCGUGCGGGAGGACGGCCUUCGGGUGGUAAACCGCUUGCGCCUGUGACGAAGCUUGAGUGACGGUAAUGGGUAAAGAAGCACCGGCUAACUACGUG